AAAAAAACAGAAGAAAUUACGGGACUGAGAGCUUGAGAGGGGCUGGGCUUUGAGUGGCCCUGUAUGGAGGCAAGUCACAGGGAGACCUGUGGGGACACUCAGGCAGAAACACUAAGACUUUCAGAGGCUGUGCUGCAACCUCAAAUCACAAGUUUGGAUUUGGGGUCUGGCUUCACUCUUGUCCUAGAUUUGACAAUUGAAGGCCACCAACCAGUGACCUGUGGAGACUGUAUUGUUUGGGACAAUCAUCUUUCUGACCUCAAUCAUUUCAGAUGACUCAAGAGCUCCAGGAAUGCCAGUCAUGGGACUGGAAGGUCAAGUUUCAGAGAGUUUAGGCUGGAAGGAGGCGAAAACCAAUCCCUGCUUUCCCUUCUCCCCAUUCUCCAGACUGUUCAGGAGCCAUUGUCAUCCCACCAGAGUUAGUCAAGCUACACAGGGCAAAGACCAUUUCUGCUGCAGACCUUUAGUGACUGAGAGAGCUGCCUCCUUUAGUGUGGUAGCAAUGUGGCCCAGAGGCUCCUCCUCCAGCUUCACUUCCUGCCCUGCCUUCUUCAGGGCUCCACCUGUUCAUCCCUGUGGAGAAAAUCCAGUUGGCUGCUAGUGACCAUGGAGGCUGCUGGUCAGUGUCGGAAGCUCUGACGGUUCCUUCUGGUUUGUUCUCGGAGGGCAGAGAGACUUUGCAAAGACCAGUCAUGUCACUCAGGGUCUCCUAUACCCCUUCAGGCUUGGGUUCCCAGACUUCAAAGCAGCUGAGAUGAAACAAACACUCAGGACAAGAUUCUUUAAUUUCUUUCCAGAGAAACAGAGCCGGAGUCAAGAUUUAGGUGUGGAUGGCCCCAGGUUAAUAUUGGUUCAUCUGAAGCUGGUUCAACUUCAUGAUGCUUCAAAUGUGAUUCUGAAAGUGACUUUGGGAUUCUAUGUUGGGCUCCUUUAACAAACUAGACAAGAAUCAUCUAGCCUGCUUUUGACUCUGGCAGAAACUGUGGGUCCCAGUCGGCUGCAGAAAUGUUUCAAUUGGAUAAGCACACAGAAAUGUUACCUGCCACCAAACAUUACCUUUUGAAGCCAGUAACCCUAUGGAAUAGGGGGAAAAGUUUAUCUUACAGAGCCAGAAAGAAAACAUCAGAAGAGAGCUCCAUUAGGCAGAGCAGUCGGAAUCAUCAGUGAAACCUAGGUGACAAUGGCAUACUAGGCAAGUUGCAAAUAGAGGCCAUGUGAUCUCAACUUCUAAGAGUUCUCUGUUCUUUUCGGACCUCUCCCACAGUUCAUCUGCCUCCAGAGAAACAGGCUACCCACUGCCAGCUUAACAGGACCUAGUACCACCAAGAGACAAGCCUCUAGGGUAUUUGUUGUUGUCUUUUUCCUAAUUUUAAUUGAAUCACUGCUAAUCCCUUUUUAAAAACAAUUAAAAGCACCAAAUUUUAACAUCUAUGUCAGUUUGGGGUUUGUAGGGGAAACACUAUCAAGAACUCUCCAGAACAAAACAAUGAUGUUCAUUCCUCUACCUGUCUACAUUGAAGGUCUACUAAAACCAAAAAUAAACCCCAAUACCCCACACA
rnacentral:lncRNA from 1 species